rnacentral:rRNA from 1 species
UACGGGGGGAGCAAGCGUUGUUCGGAUUUACUGGGCGUAAAGGGCGCGUAGGCGGCCAGCACAAGUCAGUUGUGAAAUCUCCGGGCUUAACUCGGAAAGGUCAACUGAUACUGUGCGACUAGAGUGGCAGAAGGGGCAACUGGAAUUCUCGGUGUAGCGGUGAAAUGCGUAGAUAUCGAGAGGAACACCUGCGGCGAAGGCGGGUUGCUGGGCUGACACUGACGCUGAUGCGCGAAAGCCAGGGGAGCGAACGGG